CCAACGGCUCUUUUAAGAGCCACCCAUCCCUUUCAAAAAAGAGCUGG
rfam:Chelonia mydas contig215284, whole genome shotgun sequence.